UACAGGAGACAGGAAAGACGCUGAACUCACAACUUAAUGCAAGUAUUAAGUUGUGAGUUCAGCGUCUUUCCUGUCUCCUGUU
rnacentral:pre_miRNA from 1 species